UGUAUGUGCAAGACAAUGGCAAAGUUUACAAUACUAAUAUUUUUGAUGUGUUUAAUUCUUAUUAAUAGUCUAGAGUGGGGCAAGCAAACUACGUAUGAUAUAAUAUUUGAACGAGCACAAUUAGAUGGUUUUGAUAGAUCAAUCUACCAUGAAGUGACAGUAACAUCGUUUAAAAUAAAUCGCAAGAAUUUUGCGUUUAACUUCACCGAACAUCUUAAGCGUUCAUUUGAAAAACCUGAUAAACUUAUGGUUCAAAUAGAUGUAAUACGUUUUGUAAGCAAUGAAUACCGACUUAAACUACUCCAGUUCAAUAUGCUUUUCUGUGAUUUGCUGAAGCGGAAUUUUUACCAUGCCUUUGACUUGCGAUUUAACAAUGGGACCUUGGUCCAGGAAUGUCCACUUCUUCCAAUUAAAUAUGGAAUUUUCAAUCAAGAAAUUCGCGCUGACCAAUUGCCACCAAAUAUUCCGGU